UCGAUUCCCUUAGUAGCGGCGAGCGAAACGGGAAGAGCCCAAACCAACAAGCUUGCUUGUUGGGGUUGUAGGACACUCUAUACGGAGUUACAAAGGACGACAUUAGACGAAUCAUCUGGAAAGAUGAAUCAAAGAAGGUAAUAAUCCUGUAGUCGAAAAUGUUGUCUCUCUUGAGUGGAUCCUGAGUACGACGGAGCACGUGAAAUUCCGUCGGAAUCUGGGAGGACCAUCUCCUAAGGCUAAAUACUCUCUAGUGACCGAUAGUGAACCAGUACCGUGAGGGAAAGGUGAAAAGCACCCCGGAAGGGGAGUGAAAUAGAACCUGAAACCGUGUGCUUACAAGUAGUCAGAGCCCGUUAAUGGGUGAUGGCGUGCCUUUUGUAGAAUGAACCGGCGAGUUACGAUUUGAUGCAAGGUUAAGCAGUAAAUGUGGAGCCGUAGCGAAAGCGAGUCUGAAUAGGGCGUUUAGUAUUUGGUCGUAGACCCGAAACCAGGUGAUCUACCCUUGGUCAGGUUGAAGUUCAGGUAACACUGAAUGGAGGACCGAACCGACUUACGUUGAAAAGUGAGCGGAUGAACUGAGGGUAGCGGAGAAAUUCCAAUCGAACCUGGAGAUAGCUGGUUCUCUCCGAAAUAGCUUUAGGGCUAGCCUCAAGUGAUGAUUAUUGGAGGUAGAGCACUGUUUGGACGAGGGGCCCCUCUCGGGUUACCGAAUUCAGACAAACUCCGAAUGCCAAUUAAUUUAACUUGGGAGUCAGAACAUGGGUGAUAAGGUCCGUGUUCGAAAGGGAAACAGCCCAGACCACCAGCUAAGGUCCCAAAAUAUAUGUUAAGUGGAAAAGGAUGUGGCGUUGCCCAGACAACUAGGAUGUUGGCUUAGAAGCAGCCAUCAUUUAAAGAGUGCGUAAUAGCUCACUAGUCGAGUGACACUGCGCCGAAAAUGUACCGGGGCUAAACAUAUUACCGAAGCUGUGGAUUGUCCUUUGGACAAUGGUAGGAGAGCGUUCUAAGGGCGUUGAAGCAUGAUCGUAAGGACAUGUGGAGCGCUUAGAAGUGAGAAUGCCGGUGUGAGUAGCGAAAGACGGGUGAGAAUCCCGUCCACCGAUUGACUAAGGUUUCCAGAGGAAGGCUCGUCCGCUCUGGGUUAGUCGGGUCCUAAGCUGAGGCCGACAGGCGUAGGCGAUGGAUAACAGGUUGAUAUUCCUGUACCACCUAUAA
rnacentral:rRNA from 1 species